UGGCGCACCAUCUCCUACCUUUAUGUCCCAUCUAAAACUGUUCUGCUUCUUUGUAAAUAAUGCAAACAGUUUAAAUAUGAAUAAAAUACUGUUUACAUAAACUGCUAUAAGGUUUAGUGACUGCCAACCAGUUGGCUGAACAAGGACUAAGACAUUUUUUAUUUAAAGGUAGAAUAUUCUGUCACUGAUUUUAACAAUGAAAACAUCGUAUUCCGCGGCAAUGAAUGUAACAUUAGGGCUCAAUAAAAGAGCUAUUACACAUCAAUUAACUCUUAUUUACUAUAACCACUAAAAAAAAUAGUACGAGUCGUCAGUGAAAAUUGAGGGACAUAAAUUACCCCAGAGUUUCAGUUUUUAAAGCAUUGUAACUUCCCUAAUUUUCAACCUACAUCCCCAAUCUUAUCAUUUGAACAUUCUUGUUAUGCAUGAGACACUUGAGCAUUUCGCCAACAUACCAAUUUAAAAGCACUUCUAGAAAUAAGGCUUUCAGACCACAGGCUCAACCUUUUAACAUCUUUUCUCUCUAGUAUUUAGAAAUCAAGGCCACCUUUCUUCCACUCCGCCCUUCUCUGGCUUCUCAUAGAUCUUUAAAUCCCAUUUCUUUGCACCAACCACACAUCAGCAAAUCCUCAACCUUGCCUUGCUCAAUCCCCAUGUAGGCUUACUCCUUCAGAUCGCCCCCUCUCUCCCUUGAUCUGGCCUCCUCUGGCUGCCUUCACUUCAUGUGACUGUCAGCUGCUUGAGUUCUCAUUUACCUCAGAACUAGCUCACGACUAUGUGCAGGAAAGUUGGAGGAUUAAAAAAGGAGGAAGGAAGGGUUCACAUGGGUGUGUAGCCACUACUAGUGACUUAUCUGAUAUUGCAUCUCUUUCCAGGCAUCAGCUGCUGAAUGAAGAUGCAGCCGCUGGCUGUGGAAGCGCAUCAGCUCUGUGGGAGGUCACGUGAAAACUCACGCUCACGCGGAAGCAACCACACCGUCAUCAACACAUCUCUGAUCACAUUAUAUACUGCUCAAAAAAAUAAAGGGAACACUCAAAUAAUA